rnacentral:rRNA from 1 species
GUGUCAGCAGCCGCGGUAAGACGUAGGGUCCAAGCGUUGUCCGGAUUUACUGGGCGUAAAGAGCGCGUAGGCGGUCUGUUAAGUGUAGAGUGAAAUCUCGGGGCUCACCUCCGAAACUGCUCUGCAUACUGGCAGACUUGAGGGUCGGAGAGGUAUGUGGAAUUCCUGGUGUAGCGGUGAAAUGCGUUGAUAUCAGGAGGAACACCCAUGGCGAAGGCAGCAUACUGGCCGGCAUCUGACGCUGAGGCGCGAAAGCGUGGGGAGCAAACAGGAUUAGAUACCCUGGUAGUCC